rnacentral:rRNA from 1 species
GUUGUUGGGUAGGGGAGCGUUCUGUAAGCCGUUGAAGGUGACCUGUGAGGGUUGCUGGAGGUAUCAGAAGUGCGAAUGCUGACAUAAGUAACGAUAAUGCGGGUGAAAAACCCGCACGCCGGAAGACCAAGGGUUCCUGUCCAACGUUAAUCGGGGCAGGGUGAGUCGACCCCUAAGGCGAGGCUGAAAAGCGUAGUCGAUGGGAAACAGGUUAAUAUUCCUGUACUUGGUGUUACUGCGAAGGGGGGACGGAGAAGGCUAGGCUGGCCGGGCGACGGUUGUCCCGGUUUAAGCGUGUAGGGGGAGUGACCAGGUAAAUCCGGUUGCUUAUCAACCCUGAGGCGUGAUGACGAUGCACCACGGUGCAGAAGCAGUUGAUGCCAUGCUUCCAGGAAAAGCCUCUAAGCAUCAGGUAACAUUAAAUCGUACCCCAAACCGACACAGGUGGUCAGGUAGAGAAUACUCAGGCGCUUGAGAGAACUCGGGUGAAGGAACUAGGCAAAAUGGUGCCGUAACUUCGGGAGAAGGCACGCUGGCGUUAGGUGAAAGGACUAGCUCCUGGAGCUGAAGCCAGUCGCAGAUACCAGCUGGCUGCAACUGUUUAAUAAAAACACAGCACUGUGCAAACACGAAAGUGGACGUAUACGGUGUGACGCCUGCCCGGUGCUGGAAGGUUAAUUGAUGGGGUCAGCCGCAAGGGGAAGCUCUUGAUCGAAGCCCCAGUAAACGGCGGCCGUAACUAUAACGGUCCUAAGGUAGCGAAAUUCCUUGUCGGGUAAGUUCCGACCUGCACGAAUGGCGUAAUGAUGGCCAGGCUGUCUCCACCCGAGACUCAGUGAAAUUGAACUCGCUGUGAAGAUGCAGUGUACCCGCGGCAAGACGGAAAGACCCCGUGAACCUUUACUAUAGCUUGACACUGAACAUUGAGCCUUGAUGUGUAGGAUAGGUGGGAGGCCUUGAAGUGUGGACGCCAGUCUGCAUGGAGCCAACCUUGAAAUACCACCCUUUAAUGUUUGAUGUUCUAACUCGGCCCCAUGAUCUGGGGUGAGGACAGUGUCUGGUGGGUAGUUUGACUGGGGCGGUCUCCUCCC